CCUACGGGAGGCAGCAGGGGGGAAUAUUGCACAAUGGGGGAAACCCUGAUGCAGCGACGCCGCGUGAGUGAAGAAGGAUUUCGGUAUGUAAAGCUCUAUCAGCAGGGAAGAAAAUGACGGUACCUGAUUAAGAAGCCACGGCUAACUACGUGCCAGCAGCCGCGGUAAUACGUAGGGGGCAAGCGUUAACCGGAUUUACUGGGUGGAAAGGGAGCGUAGACGGCAGCACAAGUCGGGAGUGAAAUGCCGGGGCUUAACCCCGGAACUGCUUUGGAAACUGUGCAGCUUGAGUGCAGGAGAGGUAAGUGGAAUUCCUAGUGUAGCGGUGAAAUGCGUAGUUAUUAGGAGGAACACCAGUGGCGAAGGCGGCUUACUGGACUUUAACUGACGUUGAGGCUCGAAAGCGUGGGGAGCAAACAGGAUUAGAUACCCUUGUAGUC
rnacentral:rRNA from 1 species